rnacentral:lncRNA from 10 species
AUAAGGUGAUCAGAAGAGCCAUCACUGAAGAUGACAACUGAGCAAAGACCCAAAGGAGGUGAAGAGUGAACUACGGAGGAAGCACCUUCCUGGCAGAGAACAGCAAGUGCAAAGGCCCUGGGCAGGGAGGAUGACUGGGGAUCAUUCAAGCAAGAGCAAAGAGGCCAAUGUGGAAGGAACAGAGUCAGCAAGAAGGAGUGUAAAAGGAGGUGCUCGUGACGACGACUGGGAGCAGAGCACGAGGCUGGAGAGAGCACCCCUCAAUACCGGACUCGGUACUGUUUGUGUUGGCAAAGUCACUUAAAUGCCCUUCUAUGACAAGCUGGCAGAGCUGCUUGCCGCACUAGGGAAGGAGGAGGAAAUGACAGCAGAGGAGCUUCAUCCAGACAGAAAGAUGUAGAAGGGUCCAGCCCUUCCCUCACAUCAGGGUGCAAAGAGUAGGAGGCAGUCAAACAUGUAUCAUCACUUCCCUGCCCGCAAAUUCCGAGGAAGAGGUGAUGUACCAGUCAGGAGACAGAAACCACACCAGUCAUUUCAAUAGGGA